rnacentral:sRNA from 1 species
UUUUUUUUUCCUUUUUGU